UGUGAUGUGACGUAGUGGAAG
rnacentral:miRNA from 1 species